UGGGGAAUAUUGCACAAUGGGCGCAAGCCUGAUGCAGCCAUGCCGCGUGUAUGAAGAAGGCCUUCGGGUUGUAAAGUACUUUCAGCGGGGAGGAAGGGAGUAAAGUUAAUACCUUUGCUCAUUGACGUUACCCGCAGAAGAAGCACCGGCUAACUCCGUGCCAGCAGCCGCGGUAAUACGGAGGGUGCAAGCGUUAAUCGGAAUUACUGGGCGUAAAGCGCACGCAGGCGGUUUGUUAAGUCAGAUGUGAAAUCCCCGGGCUCAACCUGGGAACUGCAUCUGAUACUGGCAAGCUAGAGUCUCGUAGAGGGGGGUAGAAUUCCAGGUGUAGCGGUGAAAUGCGUAGAGAUCUGGAGGAAUACCGGUGGCGAAGGCGGCCCCCUGGACGAAGACUGCCGCUCAGGUGCGAAAGCGUGGGGAGCAAACAGG
rnacentral:rRNA from 1 species